UGUUAUGGGUAUUUGUUACCAAUUAGGUUGUUGCUGAUCUGGCUGAUGGACCCGAGGAUGUGCAGAUGAGGUCGGUGACAAUAAAAAACUGGAGACAGGGAGCUCACGCCAGGGUCACAACUCAACCUCCUGUUUAAAUGGCGGAUUUUUGACCAAAUUAGGCCUUCUUGGACCUCCAGGGUAGCCCUUCUGCACUUCCAGGAAGGAGGUGGCUAAGUGGCUAUUUUGGUCUGUCUGCCCAUCUGGUCCCUUUGUAUCUGGCUGGCUCACGGUCAGGCCAGCAGAUUAGGUGCCGCUGCUCUGAGCAGCCGUCCAUCCCACUAGGACACGGGCCACUCAUGACACAGAAGAGACCCAACAAGACGUCCCGGAGGAGGCCCCCCCACCCCCACCACGCAAGUGCAAUUCCAGGCGGUGGGGUCCGGGGCACCCGGUCAUUUACAAAGGGGAAGGGACAUCAGAACUCGACGGCAGAACAGGCACCGGACUGUGGUCCCCAAAUAAAGAAACUCACAUCAACAGGGAGUAUAAAAAUGUUAUUUAGAGCUUCUGUUCUCAGAUGUUUGACACAAAGGAGAGACUGUUGCGCCAGGGAACAAAGUGAUCCAGUCUUCACAAAGCAGGAAUUCUCCCGCCGCACAUUUUGUUUCCAAAACACUGAGGACUACAGCAAGUUUUCCAGUUGGGGUAAAGAAGCUACUUCUGGAAGCAAGAGAGGAGAUAACUGAGGACUUUCACGGAGGGGCUUAAAGCCUUCCAAGAAAAUGCACAGUGGGUGUCAGCAUUUCGGGGCGGCCAGUGCGGAUGACUGUACGUUUCUGGAAGGAAAUGCAGUAUGGCCAAAGACCUGGGGAUUUGGAACCAGGUUCACCAUCUUAAUUCAGCUCUGCCAUCACUAUGGGAUCAAUGAGAACUACUCUUCAAUUCAACUUCUUUACUCAUUAAAUCAGAAUAAAGAUGCCCUAGUUUGG